UGGCGUCUGUGAUGUCUCCUUUACCUACAUUGUUUGACAUCUCCCUGAGAAAACAUUGUUGCCUGAGACGCUU
ensembl:snoRNA SNORD34 Small nucleolar RNA SNORD34